GAUGAACGCUGGCGGCGUGCCUAACACAUGCAAGUCGAGCGAAGCGGGGACGGGUGAGUAACACGUGGAUAACCUCCUAUAUGACUGGGAUAACUUAGGGAAACCGGAGCUAAACCGGAUACUUAUAGAGGGAUCCUCGCGGCAUUAGCUAGUGGUUAAGGUAACGGCUUACCAAGGCAACCAUGCAUAGCCGAACUGGGAGGGUGGUCGGCCUAACUGGAACUCGGACCCGGUCCAGACUCCUACGGGCGGCAGCGGUAGGGAAUCUUCCGCAAUGGGCGACAGCCUGACGGUGCAGCUCCGCGUGAGCUAUGAAGGUCUUCGGAUCGUAAAGCUCUGUUAUUAGGGAAGCGGUAAGUAGGGAGAAAGCCACGGCUAACUACGUGCCAGCAGCCGCGGUAAUAC
rnacentral:rRNA from 1 species